AAAUUCUCUAACUCCUCUCAUAGUCAAGGCUUUGGUUUGCACACAAGAUUGGCUUUGAAAAUCUAAUGAUGCCAUCAAUCUUGAAGAUUAUGUUGAUGAACUUCAAACCAUGGAAGAUGGCAAUAUAUAAAUUUUAAUAUAUAAAAUAAGCUUUUAUGUUAUUUAUAUUAGUAAGCAUUCUCAUAAUUUAACUAACACUUUUAUUUUUAAAUUUGCUAAACUUAUCCAAAAUACUCGAAGAUCAAGAAGGUAAUAUACUUAACAUUAGUUUAUAAAGUUAAAUGUUUA
rnacentral:lncRNA from 1 species